GCCUGGCUAGCUCAGUGGGAAGAGCAAGAGACUUUUGAUCUCCAGAUUGUGAGUUUGAGUCCCAUGUUGAGUG
rnacentral:tRNA from 1 species